rnacentral:lncRNA from 1 species
AUCCUAGGAGAAGGUUCAUCAGACUAGGUCUCUAUCUUAGGAGAAAAAUUCAUCGAACUAAGAUUUUGAUCCUAGGAGAAGGUUCGUCAGACUAGGUCUUUUCUUUUUUUGGUAUCUUAGGAGAAAGAUUCAUCGGACUAAGAUUUUGAUCCUAGGAGAAGGUUCGUCAGACUAGGUCUUUUCUUUUUUGGUAUCUUAGGAGAAAGAUUCAUCGGACUAAGAUUUUUCUUUUUUGGUAUCUUAGGAGAAAGGUUCAUCGGACUAAGAUUUUGAUCCUAGGAGAAGGUUCAUCAGACUAGGUCUCUAUCCUAGGAGAAAGAUUCGUCGGACUAAGAUUUUGAUCCUAGGAGAAGGUUCAUCAGACUAGGUCUUUUCUUUUUUGGUAUCUUAGGACAAAGAUUCACCGGACUAAGAUUUUGAUCCUAGGAGAAGGUUCAUCAAACUAGGUCUCUAUCUUAGGAGAAAGAUUCGUCGGACUAAGAUUUUGAUCCUA